rnacentral:rRNA from 1 species
UACGUAGGUCCCGAGCGUUGUCCGGAUUUAUUGGGCGUAAAGCGAGCGCAGGUGGUUUAUUAAGUCUGGUGUAAAAGGCAGUGGCUCAACCAUUGUAUGCAUUGGAAACUGUAUAUCUAGAGUGUCGGAGAGGCAAGUGGAAUUCCUGGUGUAGCGGUGAAAUGCGUAGAUAUCAGGAGGAACACCAGUGGCGAAGGCGGCUUGCUGGACGAUGACUGACGUUGAGGCUCGAAAGCGUGGGGAGCAAACAGG